AUGAAGGCAGCAGGAGAGACCCGGUUUUUCGGGCGCCGAAGGAGUAAGCCUUUAAAGUGUUGCUUGGCUUUAAAGGUGAAACUCUCAGGCAAAAGGACUGUUGCCGGACG
rnacentral:ncRNA from 24 species